CCCACUCUCAGAUAGAGCUGCUAGCCCCAUUUCUCCCAAGUAUUUCUUGGAUCCUGGUUGCUGUUAGAUUAGAUUAACCAGAAUACUCAGCAGGAGGCGAUUCCUACCCCCCACCACCACCCCCCUCCCAACCUCCCAUUCCCCAUCCCCAUCACCCUCCUGCACAGUGGGUUUUAUUAUUUGAUGAAUCGGUUUCUCUGCCUUUAGACUGUAAACUGGAGGGCUAGCUCGGUGACUGCACUGUCUGUGUGGGAAUGUCACCCUGUUUCUGAUGAGCAGUCAUGUGAUGCCUGUGCCCUAUUUUGCUGAUAACAUAGUUACUUGUGUUGUGGUCACCUUAGUAAUACUGUUAGAUUUUGGAGGUCAAAAACCAUCUCCUGCCAGACAUCAUUGAUGGCAUAUGUCCCUAGUCCCAGCACUCAGGAGGUAGAGGCAGGAGGAUUUCCGGUUUGGGACCAGCAUUGUGGUGAGACAGAACAAACAACCUGCAGUAACAACGAAGCCCUCCCAGUUCUCUGAAGCUUCAGCAGCACCCGGUGCUUGCAGAAGUAACUCGCACGUAAGAAAGCACAUACAUGCAGUGUCAAAAAAAGAGGGAGGAGCAGGUUUGGUGGCUCAAACCUGCAGUCCCGUCAUUUGCAAGGCUGAGGCAGGACGGCCAGCUCCAGGACAGCCUGGGCUACAGAACAAGACCACAAUUUUUGUUGUUUUACUUUGUUUUGUAAAUAAGUUCAAAUGACUCAUUUGAA